CCGACGGUGAGGGGUGAAGGCUGGGGUGCGCAAACCUGGAUUAGAUACCCGGGUAGUCCCAGCAGUAAAACGAUGCCAGCUAUGUGUUGCUGGAAACCAUGGUUCAGCAGUGCCGAAGGAAGCCGUGAAGCUGGCCACCUGGGAAGUACGGUCGCAAUGCUGAAACUUAAAGGAAUUGGCGGGGUGAGUACCACAACCGGUGGAGCCUGCGGUUUAAUUGGAUACAACGCCGUGGAAUCUUACCGGAGUGGGACAGCAGUAUGAAGGCCAGGCUAAAGACCUUGCCAGAUCAGCUGAGAGGAGGUGCAUGGCCGUCGCCAGUUCGUACCGUGAGGCAUCCUGUUUAGUCAGGCAACGAUCGAGACCCGCAGUCUUAUUUGCCAGCAUGCCCUUUGGGGUGUAUGGGUACAAUAAGACGACCGCCAGCGCUAAGCUGGAGGAAGGAGCGGGCUACGGUAGGUCAGCAUGCCCCGAAUCCUCCGGGAUACACGCGGGCUACAAUGGUCAGGACAAAAGGUACCGACCUCGAAAGAGUGAGGUAAUCCACAAACCUGAUCUCAGUCCGGAUCGAAGGCUGCAACUCGCCUUCGUGAAGAUGGAAUCGGUAGUAAUCGUGACUCAGAAUGUCACGGUGAAUAUGUCCCUGCUCCUUGCACACACCGCCCGUAAAG
rnacentral:rRNA from 1 species